ensembl:lncRNA
AGGGGUUCCGUGGCUGCGACACGUCUCCAGCCCAAGGACACGCCUGGGCGAAGGGGUCAAUCACGUGCGUUGGAGUUUGCGUGAACCAGACAAAAGGGCAGUGGGCGGGCUCUCUCUAAAACCCACCAGAGUGGGAUGACGGCGGUCAGGUGCCGCCCACGCCCCCUCCGGCCUCUUUCUGCGGAGAAGGAAGGUGGAGCGGUGGGACGAACUCUGGAGCUGGACUCAGGCAGACCCAGUUCAAGCCCCACUUCUGCCACGGAGCAGCUGGGUGGGCUUGGGAAUGUCGACCCCUCUGCGCCUCGGUUUUCAAAUCUGUGCAGUGGAGCGAUGACAGGGGUUGAAUGAGAGAACGGCCACAAAGGUCCAGCAUGGUGUGCAUCAGGUCUCAGCAGAGCUGGGUUAGAAGGGGGGAGACGGGGUCUUGCUGACGGGGGAGGACAGGAAAUGGAAGAGCCCGUUUCCCUUUACGCAUGACGAGCCUUCUGUCGGUGCUUCGAGCCCAGAAGGUUGAGACACUCAGAGCACCUCGACUUCUAGGCUGUUUCCAUGAGAAGCCGAACUCCGCGGAGGGCGAGCAGCUCUUCUGCAUCUCAGCCUUUCUUUCGAAGGGAAGUAGACGUGGUUGCUGUCCCGAGAGGGCUGCUGUCGCCGUCUGCUGUCGCGCGCUUCUGGGCUGUGCCUUGACUGCUGUUGGCUUCAUCGAGAAAAUGUCCAGAAUGGGUUUAUUUUGGCUGAAUUUGCUCUGAUUGAGAACAAGAGCCACGAAGUCCGAGAGCAUCAGGUUGGAAUCAUCGGCUCUGCUCCUUGCGGGAUGCACCUGGGGCAAGCACCUCCUCAGUCCGAGCCUCAGUUUUCUUCUCUGUAAAAUGGGGAUAAAAAUACCUCCCUCAGAGGGUUGCCUGGAGGACUAGUGGGAACCUGUGUCUGCCCGCGGUACUUAGGGAGGUAAAGAGCCAGAGCAGAUGCUAGGUCACGUUACUCAAGAAGCCAGCAUUUCCAUUAAGGCGAAAUAAUGGAGAGAUAACAUUUUGGUGAAGUUAUAAUGAUAUCUGUAAGGAAACUUGGAUGAGAACCUCUUUGAGGAGCAAGCGCUUUUGUUUUUUCUUGUUGAGGAAGAUUGGCCCUGAGCUAACGUCUGUACCAAUCUUCCUCUAUUUUGUAUGUGACAUGCUGCCACAGCGUGGCUUGAUGAGAGGUAUGUGGGUCCGUUCCUGGGGUCCAAAACUGCAAACCCUGGGCUCCUGAAGUGGAAGGAGUGCUUUAACUAGACCGUUGAGGGCAAUAACUCACAUUUGCUGAGUCGUUUUAGAAACACUAUCAUUGUUUUACCUCGUGGAAUCCUAACAAGGACCGUGUGAGAUGUGACCUCAGGGACCACACUCCUAGCCUCUCUGCUUUCCUGCCACCUGGUUUUGUAGGACACUGUCCAAACUGCAUUUGUUUUCACUUGGCUGAGGAUGGAGGGUAGGGCCGCUAUGUACAGUUACUCAGGUUGUGCACUGAACAACCCUAAGGGCUCCAUUCCAUCGCAGAUAUCAUAGAUACGGGGGCUUAUUAUGACACUUUUCCAGCAGAUGGUAAUAAAGUGACUUGUUCCAACAAAAAAUAUAUUGUGACCAUUUUCUGACAGAUUGAAGAAGGGGCGCCUUUUCCAGGUCACACCAAAGGUCUUUAUGAGUUAGUAGUGGCACAGUUAUUGGGUGGAGUCACUACCUGCUCCAUCUGGAGGGAGGGAAUCUGUAUUCUAAUGGAGAAACUGGG